UACCCGCUGAAAAUUAAGCAUAUAAGUAAGUGGUGGAAGAAAACAUAAACAUGAUUCUUUAGUAAUGGCGAAUGAACAAAGACAUAGUCAUUUUGAAAAUUGUGGUCCGUGAUCAUGAAUUGUAAUAUUCAAAAUGCAUUGCUAACAAAAUUGCAUAUGUUAGUUUAUUGGAAAGAACAUUACAAAGGGUGAAAAUCCCAUGUGUCAUGUGUAUGUUUUGUGUACAGUGUGCAUUUCAUGAUUCACAUUCAUUGACAAUUGAAUGUAAAGCGAAUGGUAAACUUCAUUUAAACAUAAAUAUGUUGUUGGAAACUUAUAUCGAACAAAUACCAUGAGGGAAAUGUGAAAAGGAUUUUGAAAAGAAAAUUAAAAGAGCUUACAAUUGCUGGAUUGAUAAGCAAACAAAACACACAUGUGUAUGUGCAAGAUUGUUGUCAUGUUGUGCAAUUCAUGCAAACUAACAUUGCUUUGGUUUUUGUGUAAUUUUGUCAGCUUUGGAAUUGAGAAUGAUUUUUUUGAGUGUGAAUGGAUUGUUGUUUGUUAACAAAGGAAUGCACUUUCAAAAUCAUUGUUUGAUUUGUCAAUCAAGUUUGUGGCGUGUGUUGUGUGUCAAGUUUAUUUACAUAAUUCACAAAACACAUGAAGUUUGAGCUAUUAAGGCAAUUCUUGUUUUGUUUGACCCGUCUUGAAACACGGACCAAGGAGUUUAAUUUAUGUGCAAGUUCAUGAAAUUUACAUUUGCACAGCAAUGAAAGUGUUAGGUUGGGAUACUUGCACCAACAACUGAUAAGUUGUGAGACAUAACAUUGAGUUUGAGCAUGUCGAUUAAAACCCGAAAGAUGGUGAACUAUGCCUGAACAGAAUGAAGUCAGAGGAAACUCUGAUGGAAGUUCGUAUCGAUACUGAC
rnacentral:rRNA from 1 species